ACACAUGCAAGUCGAGGGGCAGCAUGGUCUUAGCUUGCUAAGGCCGAUGGCGACCGGCGCACGGGUGAGUAACACGUAUCCAACCUGCCGUCUACUCUUGGACAGCCUUCUGAAAGGAAGAUUAAUACAAGAUGGCAUCAUGAGUUCACAUGUUCACAUGAUUAAAGGUAUUCCGGUAGACGAUGGGGAUGCGUUCCAUUAGAUAGUAGGCGGGGUAACGGCCCACCUAGUCUUCGAUGGAUAGGGGUUCUGAGAGGAAGGUCCCCCACAUUGGAACUGAGACACGGUCCAAACUCCUACGGGAGGCAGCAGUGAGGAAUAUUGGUCAAUGGGCGAGAGCCUGAACCAGCCAAGUAGCGUGAAGGAUGACUGCCCUAUGGGUUGUAAACUUCUUUUAUAAAGGAAUAAAGUCGGGUAUGCAUACCCGUUUGCAUGUACUUUAUGAAUAAGGAUCGGCUAACUCCGUGCCAGCAGCCGCGGUAAUACGGAGGAUCCGAGCGUUAUCCGGAUUUAUUGGGUUUAAAGGGAGCGUAGAUGGAUGUUUAAGUCAGUUGUGGAAGUUUGCGGCUCAACCGUAAAAUUGCAGUUGAUACUGGAUAUCUUGAGUGCAGUUGAGGCAGGCGGAAUUCGUGGUGUAGCGGUGAAAUGCUUAGAUAUCACGAAGAACUCCGAUUGCGAGGGCAGCCUGCUAAGCUGCAACUGACAUUGAGGCUCGAAAGUGUGGGUAUCAAACAGGAUUAGAUACCCUGGUAGUCCACACGGUAAACGAUGAAUACUCGCUGUUUGCGAUAUAC
rnacentral:rRNA from 1 species